rnacentral:rRNA from 1 species
AUACGUAGGUGGCAAGCGUUGUCCGGAUUUAUUGGGCGUAAAGCGAGCGCAGGCGGUUUCUUAAGUCUGAUGUGAAAGCCCCCCGGCUUAACCGGGGAGGGUCAUUGGAAACUGGGAGACUUGAGUGCAGAAGAGGAGAGUGGAAUUCCAUGUGUAGCGGUGAAAUGCGUAGAUAUAUGGAGGAACACCAGUGGCGAAGGCGACUCUCUGGUCUGUAACUGACGCUGAGGCUCGAAAGCGUGGGGAGC